rnacentral:rRNA from 1 species
CCCGCACAAGCAGCGAGCAUGUUGGCUUAAUUCGACGCAACGCGAAGAACCUUACCAAGGCUUGAAUGCAAGUGAAGCGGUGGAAACGCCGUGGCCGAAAGGAGCUUGCACAGGUGGUGCAUGGUUGUCGUCAGCUCGUGUCGUGAGAUGUUGGGUUAAGUCCCGCAACGAGCGCAACCCUUAUCCCCAGUUGCCAUCAGGUAAAGCUGGGAACUCUGGGGAGACUGCCGGUGAUAAACCGGAGGAAGGCGGGGAUGACGUCAAGUCCUCAUGGCCCUUACAUCCCGGGCUACACACGUGCUACAAUGGCAGGUACAGAGGGCUGCGAAGCCGCGAGGUGGAGCGAAUCCCAGAAAAACCUGUCUCAGUCCGGAUUGAAGUCUGCAACUCGACUUCAUGAAGGCGGAAUCGCUAGUAACCGCGAAUCAGCAGGUCGCGGUGAAUACGUUCCCGGGCCUU